AGAGUUUGAUCCCGGCUCAGAAUCAACGCUGGCGGCGCGCCUAACACAUGCAAGUCGAACGGGAAAGGGGAGCAAUCCCUGAGUAUAGUGGCGUACGGGUGAGUAACACGUGGGUAAUCUGCCUUUUCGUGUGGAAUAACCCUGGGAAACCGGGGCUAAUACCGCAUAAUCCGCGAUCCGAAAGGAAAGCCGGGAAAGUCGCAAGACGCUGAAAGAGGAGCCCGCGGCCGAUUAGCUAGUUGGCGGGGUAAGAGCCCACCAAGGCGAAGAUCGGUAGCCGGCCUGAGAGGGCACACGGCCACACUGGCACUGAAACACGGGCCAGACUCCUACGGGAGGCAGCUGUGGGGAAUCUUGCACAAUGGGGGAAACCCUGAUGCAGCGACGCCGCGUGAGCGAUGAAGCCCUUCGGGGCGUAAAGCUCUUUCGGCAGGGAAGAUGGUGACGGUACCUGCAGAAGCAGCUGCGGCUAACUACGUGCCAGCAGCCGCGGUAAUACGUAGGCAGCGAGCGUUGUUCGGAGUUACUGGGCGUAAAGGGUGUGUAGGCGGUUGUUUAAGUUUGGUGUGAAAUCUCCCGGCUCAACCGGGAGGGUGCGCCGAAUACUGAGCGACUCGAGUGCGGGAGAGGAGAGUGGAAUUCCUGGUGUAGCGGUGAAAUGCGUAGAUAUCAGGAGGAACACCGGCGGUGUAGACGGCUCUCUGGACCGCGACUGACGCUGAGACACGAAAGCGUGGGUAGCAAACAGGAUUAGAUACCCUGGUAGUCCACGCCCUAAACGAUGCAUAUUUGGUGUGGGCAGUUCAUUCUGUCCGUGCCGGAGCUAACGCGUUAAAUAUGCCGCCUGGGGAGUACAGUCGCAAGGCUGAAACUCAAAGGAAUUGACGGGGGCCCGCACAAGCGGUGGAGCAUGUGGUUCAAUUCGACGCAACGCGAAGAACCUUACCUGGGCUCGAACGGCCGGUUAACGGGGGCGGAAACGCUUCUACCCCGCAAGGGGGUCCGGUCGAGGUGCUGCAUGGCUGUCGUCAGCUCGUGUCGUGAGAUGUUGGGUUAAGUCCCGCAACGAGCGCAACCCUUGUCCUGUGUUGCCAUCAUUCAGUUGGGAACUCGCAGGAGACCGCCAGCGAUAAGCUGGAGGAAGGUGGGGAUGACGUCAAGUCCUCAUGGCCUUUAUGUCCAGGGCUACACACGUGCUACAAUGGACGGUACAAAGCGUCGCAAACCCGCGAGGGGGAGCCAAUCGCAGAAAACCGUUCUCAGUUCGGAUUGCAGGCUGCAACCCGCCUGCAUGAAGCUGGAAUCGCUAGUAAUGGCAGAUCAGCACGCUGCCGUGAAUACGUUCCCGGGCCUUGUACACACCGCCCGUCACAUCAC
rnacentral:rRNA from 1 species